UACGUAGGGUGCAAGCGUUGUCCGGAAUUAUUGGGCGUAAAGAGCUCGUAGGUGGCCUGUCGCGUCGGCUGUGAAAACUCGGGGCUCAACUCCGAGCUUGCAGUCGAUACGGGCAGGCUAGAGUUCGGCAGGGGAGACUGGAAUUCCUGGUGUAGCGGUGAAAUGCGCAGAUAUCAGGAGGAACACCGAUGGCGAGGGCAGCUCGCUGGGACGGUACUGACGCUGAGGCGCGAAAGCGUGGGGAGCAAACAGG
rnacentral:rRNA from 1 species